UCAGUGGGUGUAAAGGGUGCGUAGGCGGACAGGUAAGUCAGUGGUGAAAUCUCCGAGCUUAACGCGGAAACUGCAGUAGAUACUAUGUGUCGUGAAUAUUGUGGAGGUAAGCGGAAUAUGUCAUGUAGCGGUGAAAUGCUUAGAUAUGACAUAGAACACCAAUUGCGAAGGCAGCUUGCUACACAAUCAUUGACGCUGAGGCACGAAAGCGUGGGGAUCAAACA
rnacentral:rRNA from 1 species